GACCGCGGCCAUCCCACCCUGCUCACACCCUCUCCCUGAUCUCAGAGGCCCAGCAGCAGAGUAAGCCCGGUUAGCACCUGCAUGGGAGACCACCUGGGAAUACCAGGUGCUGUAGACC
rnacentral:rRNA from 1 species